UCUGACGGAGCAACGCCGCGUGAGCGAAGAAGGUCUUCGGAUCGUAAAGCUCUGUUGUCAGGGAAGAACAAGUACCGUUCGAACAGGGCGGUACCUUGACGGUACCUGACCAGAAAGCCACGGCUAACUACGUGCCAGCAGCCGCGGUAAUACGUAGGUGGCAAGCGUUGUCCGGAAUUAUUGGGCGUAAAGCGCGCGCAGGCGGUCUCUUAAGUCUGAUGUGAAAGCCCACGGCUCAACCGUGGAGGGUCAUUGGAAACUGGGAGACUUGAGUGCAGAAGAGGAGAGCGGAAUUCCACGUGUAGCGGUGAAAUGCGUAGAGAUGUGGAGGAACACCAGUGGCGAAGGCGGCUCUCUGGUCUGUAACUGACGCUGAGGCGCGAAAGCGUGGGGAGCGAACAGGAUUAGAUACCCUGGUAGUCCACGCCGUAAACGAUGAGUGCUAAGUGUUAGAGGGCUUCCACCCUUUAGUGCUGCAGCUAACGCAUUAAGCACUCCGCCUGGGGAGUACGGCCGCAAGGCUGAAACUCAAAGGAAUUGACGGGGGCCCGCACAAGCGGUGGAGCAUGUGGUUUAAUUCGAAGCAACGCGAAGAACCUUACCAGGUCUUGACAUCCUUCGCUACCUCUAGAGAUAGAGGGUUCCCCUUCGGGGGACGGAGUGACAGGUGGUGCAUGGUUGUCGUCAGCUCGUGUCGUGAGAUGUUGGGUUAAGUCCCGCAACGAGCGCAACCCUUGACCUUAGUUGCCAGCAUUCAGUUGGGCACUCUAAGGUGACUGCCGGUGACAAACCGGAGGAAGGUGGGGAUGACGUCAAAUCAUCAUGCCCCUUAUGACCUGGGCUACACACGUGCUACAAUGGAUGGUACAAAGGGUCGCGAAACCGCGAGGUGGAGCCAAUCCCAAAAAACCAUUCUCAGUUCGGAUUGCAGGCUGCAACUCGCCUGCAUGAAGCCGGAAUCGCUAGUAAUCGCGGAUCAGCAUGCCGCGGUGAAUACGUUCCCGGGCCUUGUACACACCGCCCGUCACACCACGAGAGUUUGCAACACCCGAAGUCGGUGUAGGAACCCUACGGGAG
rnacentral:rRNA from 1 species